CAGCCGCCGCGGGAAUACGAACCGUGCGAACGUUAUUCGGAAUCACUGGGCUUAAAGCGCGUGUAGGCGGGCCGCCACGUCGGCUGCUGAAAUCCCCCGGCUCAACCGGGGAAGUGGCACCGAUACGAGCGGCCUCGAGGGGGGUAGGGGGCGCUGGAACUUCCGGUGGAGCGGUGAAAUGCGUUGAGAUCGGAAGGAACGCCCGUGGCGAAAGCGAGUGCCUGGACCCUUUCUGACGCUGAGACGCGAAAGCCAGGGGAGCGAACGGGAUUAGAUACCCCCGUAGUCCCUGUCUCUUAUA
rnacentral:rRNA from 1 species